AAAGAGCAAAAAUCUGGAUUUUGAAUAUUUUGAAUAUACUCUAUAGUUGUUUUUAUACAACGAGAUUGCCUUUGUCAACUCAUCUCUUUUUUCCUAUUCCAUCUUCCCGUUAUAUUAUUAAUUUCGUGCAAAACUUUCAAGGAUUUUAGCCGGUUUAAAUGACGGAGGCAUCUUGAAACUAUUAUUGAUUAAUAGGUUGAUUGUAGCCUAUGUCACGGCUGUAAAUUUAAAUCACAUUUGACGAGUUGUUCGGGAGGAGAAAUUUUGACAGUGGCGCGUGAACAGAACUAAACAUUGAAUCAAAAUUAUGAUCAGAGACCUACUGUGAUAUCACAGCCGCAUGUUAGCCGUUUGGCUGAUUGUCAAAAACGAGGGUGCCGACUGGGAAUAGAUACCACAGUUUCACGACGUAGGCAAAGACGAGCUGGCAGCAGUUUGCCGCUGUUGUAUAGCUAAGGUCAGGCCUCCUACCUGGGUGUUCGUUUCUCCUCAAUAGUUCAGUAUCCAGAUAGGAAGUCUUACUAUGCUUAGAAGUGCAUAAAGGGCUGGAUAAAGGUGUCAUGCGACCCGUUCCGAGGAUCAACCUGGCUGGGGGCCAAAAAACAAAAAGGAGUCUGGAUCUUCUGUAACAAGGCCGGAGAGAGCGAGUUGUUCCCAGAAGAGAGCAGCGUAUGGUACGAGCUCGACAACAGCCGGGGUGAGGACAGGAGCGAAGUUAGGUACUGAAGCAAAGCACUAUUGAAGGAACAGAAGCUUAAGCUGGUUCCAAGAAGGCAACAGUACCUAAGUCAGUCCAUACAAAAUCUUGUAACCAAGGCUUGGCUGCUAAGCAGGGGAAGGAGGGAGAUACCAAAAAUGGUGUUGCCAGUAGUGCGUCUGCGAGAGAAUGCAUUUCAAUAAGUCCCAGCGGAGGCAAAGAAUUCAGAGAAGCGACGCGCUGCAUACCUGCUGAGGAAGGUGGAGCUGCAACCGCCAACCAAUGGGGAGCUUAUAAAGGAGCUCCAGGAAUCCAUUUAUUGUGCGAGAACUGCCUUGCUUAGCUUUAAAUUGAUGUGGACCGGAACCGCAUUAUCAUUGGAGUGCUAGAUGAGGGAGAUCCCAAUAGCCCGAGUUACCCGCAUGGCAGAAGAGCCGCCUGACUUCGUCCUCAUUGAAUAGCCAUGGGUUAGUGGAGGCCGUACUUGCGGCCUAGUGACACCGGGGUAUAAUUUAUUCAUGGCAAGCGGCGUAGUUAUAGUAAUUACGACACUACAGCAGUAAGCUGAGAGACGGGCGCAAAUAAAUACCGGCUGGCGUUAAGCUACUUGUCGUUUGAUGAAGAAGUAGUACCAUCGCAGCUGAUUAAAGACCUGGUACGAGACAGCGAAGCAUCCAAGUGCUCGAUUGUACUUUAACCAACGCACACCUCAGACUAUGGGGCAGCACGAACAUCAACGAAAGGGCUAACAGAGUAGACGUCAUGACGUGACGAGUAUGUGGGGAAUCAGCCGAUGUUAGCCCCGAGGAUGUGCAGCAAUUCAAACAAUACGGAUGAAACUGGACUUUAUUUUCCGUGCCUUGCCUAAUAAAUGAUAAAUGCAUGGGCGGUAAGUUAUCGAAAGAAAGGCUAACUGUGCUAUUGUGUGCCAAUAUGAUCGGGGAUAAAACAAAGCCAUUAGUGAUCGGAAAAGCAGCACGUCCAUGCGCGUUUAAAAAAAUGCGAUAUAAAAACCUUGCCAGUAGAAUGAAAAUUAAAUUAUUUGUGAGUGGCUUCUAAUGCUUAAUAAAAAAAUGGGCUCCAAGAAUAGGAACAU